rnacentral:rRNA from 1 species
UUUUGGACAAUGGGCGCAAGCCUGAUCCAGCAAUGCCGCGUGAGUGAAGAAGGCCUUCGGGUUGUAAAGCUCUUUUGUCAGGGAAGAAACGGUGAGCUCUAAUACAGUUUGCUAAUGACGGUACCUGAAGAAUAAGCACCGGCUAACUACGUGCCAGCAGCCGCGGUAAUACGUAGGGUGCAAGCGUUAAUCGGAAUUACUGGGCGUAAAGCGUGCGCAGGCGGUUAUGUAAGUCAGAUGUGAAAUCCCCGGGCUCAACCUGGGAAUGGCAUUUGAGACUGCAUGGCUAGAGUGUGUCAGAGGGGGGUAGAAUUCCACGUGUAGCAGUGAAAUGCGUAGAGGUGUGGAGGAAUACCGAUGGCGAAGGCAGCCCCCUGGGAUAACACUGACGCUCAGCACGAAA